GAUGAAGAACGUAGCAAAAUGCGAUAAGUAAUGUGAAUUGCAGAAUUCAGUGAAUCAUCGAAUCUUUGAACGCACAUUGCGCCCCUUGGUAUUCCGAGGGGCAUGCCUGUUCGAGCGUCAUUUCAACCCUCAAGCACAGCUUGGUCUUGGGCUUCGCCGCUAACCCGGCGGGUCUUAAAAUCAGUGGCGGUGCCGUCGGGCCCUGAGCGCAGUAAUCUCUCUCGCUAUAGGGUCCCGGCGGAUGCUGGCCAGUAACCCCCAAUUUUCUAUGGUUGACCUCGGAUCAGGUAGGGAUACCCGCUGAACUUAAGCAUAUCAAUAAGCGGAGGA
rnacentral:misc_RNA from 1 species